rnacentral:rRNA from 1 species
AACGAACGCUGGCGGCAGGCUUAACACAUGCAAGUCGAGCGCCCCGCAAGAGGAGCGGCAGACGGGUGAGUAACGCGUGGGAAUCUACCCAUCUCUACGGAAUAACUCAGGGAAACUUGUGCUAAUACCGUAUACGCCCUUCGGGGGAAAGAUUUAUCGGAGAUGGAUGAGCCCGCGUUGGAUUAGCUAGUUGGUGGGGUAAUGGCCUACCAAGGCGACGAUCCAUAGCUGGUCUGAGAGGAUGAUCAGCCACACUGGGACUGAGACACGGCCCAGACUCCUACGGGAGGCAGCAGUGGGGAAUAUUGGGCAAUGGGCGAAAGCCUGAUCCAGCCAUGCCGCGUGAGUGAUGAAGGCCCUAGGGUUGUAAAGCUCUUUCACCGGUGAAGAUAAUGACGGUAACCGGAGAAGAAGCCCCGGCUAACUUCGUGCCAGCCGCCGCAGUAAUAC